AGAGUUUGAUCCUGGCUCAGGAUGAACGCUGGCGGCGUGCCUAAUACAUGCAAGUCGAGCGAACCACUUCGGUGGGAAGCGGCGAACGGGUGAGUAACACGUAGGUGAUCUGCCCAUCAGACGGGGACAACGAUUGGAAACGAUCGCUAAUACCGGAUAGGACGAAAGUUUAAAGAUGCUCCUGGCAUCACUGAUGGAUGAGCCUGCGGCGCAUUAGCUAGUUGGUGGGGUAAAGGCCUACCAAGGCGACGAUGCGUAGCCGACCUGAGAGGGUGAACGGCCACACUGGGACUGAGACACGGCCCAGACUCCUACGGGAGGCAGCAGUAGGGAAUCUUCGGCAAUGGGCGAAAGCCUGACCGAGCAACGCCGCGUGAAUGAAGAAGGCCUUCGGGUUGUAAAAUUCUGUUAUAAGGGAAGAAAGGUGACAGGAGGAAAUGACUAUCAAUUGACGGUACCUUAUGAGAAAGCCACGGCUAACUACGUG
rnacentral:rRNA from 1 species